AAUCAACGCUGGCGGCGUGCCUCAGACAUGCAAGUCGAACGCGAAAGUUUCCUUCGGGAGACCGGUAGAGUGGCGCACGGGUGAGUAACACGUGGGUAAUUUACCUUUGGGUGGGGAAUAACAGUCGGAAACGACUGCUAAUACCGCAUAAUGCAGCGGCAGCUCAUGCUGACAGUUGUUAAAGCGGGGGAUCUGCAAAGACCUCGCGCCUAAAGAGAAGCCCGCGGCGGAUUAGCUAGUUGGUGAGGUAAUGGCUCACCAAGGCGUCGAUCCGUAGCCGGCCUGAGAGGGCGGUCGGCCACACUGACACUGAAUAACGGGUCAGACUCCUACGGGAGGCAGCAGUCGGGAA
rnacentral:rRNA from 1 species